GUUUGAUCAUGGCUUAGGAUUAACGCUAGCGGUACGCCUAAUACAUGCAAGUCGAGCGGGUGUAGCAAUACAUCAGCGGCAAACGGGUGCGUAACACGUAUCUAACCUACCCUUAAGAGAGGAACAACUGGUCGAAAGACUAGCUAAUACCUCAUAGGAAAAACAUCUUAUGGUGUUUUUUUAAAGGUCCGUUCGGACCACUUUUGGAUGGGGGUGCGGCUUAUCAGAUAGUUGGUGAGGUAAUGGCCCACCAAGUCUAUGACGAGUAGCUAUGCUGAGAGGUAGAAUAGCCACAAUGGGACUGAGACACGGCCCAUACUCCUACGGGAGGCAGCAGUAGGGAAUUUUUCUCAAUGGGCGAAAGCCUGAAGGAGCGAUACCGCGUGAACGAUGAAGGUCGUAAGAUUGUAAAGUUCUUUUAUAUGGGACGAAUAGUAGUAAUAGGAAAUGAUUGCUAUUUGACUGUACCAUUUGAAUAAGUAACGGCAAACUUUGUGCCAGCAGCCGCGGUAAUACAAAGGUUACAAGCGUUAUCCGGAUUUACUGGGCGUAAAGCGAGCGCGGGCUGAUAUACAAGUCUGAUGUAAAAUGCUAUUGCUUAACAAUAGUAGGCAUUGGAAACUGUAUGUCUUGAGUGUGAUAGGGAGUUUUAGAACUCCAUGUGGAGCGGUGGAAUGCGUAGAUAUAUGGAAGAAUACCAAUGGUGAAGACAAAAACUUAGGUCACUACUGACGCUUAGGCUCGAAAGUGUGGGGAGCAAAUAGGAUUAGAUACCCUAGUAGUCCACACCGUAAACGAUGAUCAUUAGAGGUUGAUAUGUUAGUAUCAGUCUCGAAGCUAACGCAUUAAAUGAUCCGCCUGGGUAGUACAUUCGCAAGAAUGAAACUCAAACGGAAUUGACGGGAGCCCGCACAAGUGGUGGAGCAUGUUGUUUAAUUCGACAGUACACGCGAAACCUUACCAGGGUUUGACAUGUUGAGCAAAGUUAUAGAAAUAUAAUGGAGGUUAACUCAAACACAGGUGGUGCAUGGUUGUCGUCAGCUCUUGUCGUGAGAUGUCCCGUUAAGUCUGGGAAAAGAGCGAAACCCCAAGUAAAAUGUUAAUUUUCUUUUACUCUUAGUUGUCAUUUAUUGACACUAUUCAAAGGGACGACGUCAAAUCCUCAUGCCCUUUAUACCCUGGGCCACAAACGUGCUACAAUGGCAACUACAAAGUGCUGCAAUAUCGUAAGAUGGAGCUAAUCACUAAAGGUUGUCCCAGUUCAGAUCGAGGACUGCAACUCGUCCUCGUGAAGUUGGAAUCACUAGUAAUCGCGAAUAAGUCAUGUCGCGGUGAAUGCGUUCUCGGGCUUUGUACACACCGCCCGUC
rnacentral:rRNA from 1 species